rnacentral:lncRNA from 1 species
GUGAUACUAAAACAACUUUAUUUUGCAUAACAAGUUUAUUUUUUUAAAGGUAUAUAGACAAAACAAAGUAAACAUUUAAAUAGAUUUUAACUUCUGCCCUAAAACUGUUCCAAUAAGUGUCAGUCUCUAAACAUUUUUAGUUCAGUAAUCAUCAUCUUCAUCAGAGUCCAUUACUUUUCUUCUGUUGAAUUUAACUGUUGUUUUUUUUUCUGUUUGUUGGCUUACUUUUUCAAGGAUUUCUAUUAAACCUUGUUCUGAGAACUUCCCACUUAGCUGUCCAUACUUUGCCAUCUGUAUAAGGUAAUUCUCUACUGCUUUCGUUUUUUUCAGCCUUUACAAGUGCUAAUUACUUAACCUGGCCCGGGCUGAUUGAUCCAGCAUUUGCCCUAAGAUACUGUUUCUCAUUUCCGCUUCCCUGUGCUUUGCUUCCUGUUGUGCUGUAUCAUUAGGAUCCCCGUAUUUUGCCUGCAGCUUGGCCGGGCUCUGCUUCCUCCAGAUUUUAAAUUCUUAACACAAAACACUCAGUACUACAAAUAGGCCUCUUGCACUAAAAUAUUCUUAUCAAAUUCCGUCUUCAACUGAGACCCAGUGGUGGCUCCUGUGUUCUGGCCGGCGAGAGCCCCGUUCGUACUCCUGGGUACACAGAGGAGAUUUGCAGGUUUCAACAUCUGGCUGGAGACAGGAGCACAUCCAUGGCUUCCCAUGCACAAGGUCACGCCGCUCUGGUGGCCUCCAUUCAUCACUGCAGGGCAUGAGAAGUUAUGAGCAGGGAGCCAGGAACAGGAGGAGGCUUCUCCCCUGUAGAUCCACAGCCCCUUCAAGUCCUCUGUGGGGCACCAGGCUGCCGGCUUCUGGGCAGCCACGUUGUGCAGCUCAGAGAAGUGGGGCAGCAUCUGGGAGCGGAUGACGUCUGCCCAGCAUGUGGCCUUGCACCCGGGAAGGGCACAGGACAAAAGCUUUCUUGGCGACAGAGUAAAAAUAGCCAGGGCACCGCCAUCCAGGGCAGCGUGGACUCUAUAAUUACUGAGGUGAGUGAGCAGGUGUAGACCACCGAGUCCCGGAAGUGUCUAGAAGCUGGAGCAGGUGUGGAAACAUCCUCCCACGGACGGACUUACAACUGGAGCACUCAAAGAGAAUAAACUUGUGUCAUUUAAGCCGAUACAAUUGUGGCGAUUUGUUAUAACGACAACAGGAAACUAUAGAAAUAAUUUUAAAAAGCAGACACAAAGCUGGGUGCGGGUGGUUAAAACCACGGUUUCCCUUCCACUGGGUCUUCUGUCUUCAAAGAAUUCUUUUGUAAGCCUGGAAAAUUUUACAUCCUGUAUUUUUCCCCUAAACGUUUAUAACGAGACUCUGCAGUGUUAUUAGUGCUGCUGCUCAUCGCGAUUGGAUUAUGCUGUGAAGGAAUGUGUAAUUUAAACUGCUUUUCAGAAAGGAAACUCAGGUACACUGCACUCAACCCAGAAGCCAGGCACCUCCUAGUAGGGGCUCAUGGCUGGCCUGGAAUCAUGCAGUCAUAGCUGGGAGAAAAAGUGCACCUCUCAAAUGCCACACCUGUCUGUCUUCCCUCCCUCGAGGCUGAGUGUGAGGGUUAAGGUUGAGGACCCUAAUGAGGGGGAUGGUGUCCUGUUUGCCCUUCUGGGCUGUCCUCUUUUGGGGGCUUCUGACGUUCGCAGGCAGAAAGGGGAGAAAGGCUCGAGGGAGACCCUGUAGGACCAGCCUGGAC